rnacentral:rRNA from 1 species
GCACCGAAGCUGCGGCAGCGACGCUGAUGCGUUGUUGGGUAGGGGAGCGUUCUGUAAGCCUGCGAAGGUGACCUGUGAGGGUUGCUGGAGGUAUCAGAAGUGCGAAUGCUGACAUAAGUAACGAUAAAGCGGGUGAAAAGCCCGCUCGCCGGAAGACCAAGGGUUCCUGUCCAACGUUAAUCGGGGCAGGGUGAGUCGACCCCUAAGGCGAGGCCGAAAGGCGUAGUCGAUGGGAAACGGGUUAAUAUUCCCGUACUUGGUGUUACUGCGAAGGGGGGACGGAGAAGGCUAUGUUGGCCGGGCGACGGUUGUCCCGGUUUAAGCGUGUAGGUGUGUGUUCCAGGUAAAUCCGGUUCACUUUAACACUGAGGCGUGAUGACGAGGCACUACGGUGCUGAAGCAACAAAUGCCCUGCUUCCAGGAAAAGCCUCUAAGCAUCAGGUAACAUCAAAUCGUACCCCAAACCGACACAGGUGGUCAGGUAGAGAAUACCAAGGCGCUUGAGAGAACUCGGGUGAAGGAACUAGGCAAAAUGGUGCCGUAACUUCGGGAGAAGGCACGCUGACACGUAGGUGAAGUGAUUUACUCACGGAGCUGAAGUCAGUCGAAGA